rnacentral:rRNA from 1 species
UACGAAGGGGGCUAGCGUUGCUCGGAAUCACUGGGCGUAAAGCGCACGUAGGCGGCUUUUUAAGUCAGGGGUGAAAUCCUGGAGCUCAACUCCAGAACUGCCUUUGAUACUGGGAAGCUCGAGUCCGGAAGAGGAGAGUGGAAUUCCCGGUGUAGCGGUGAAAUGCGCAGAUAUCGGGAAGAACACCUAUGGCGAAGGCAGCUCUCUGGGACGGUACUGACGCUGAGACGCGAAAGCGUGGGGAGCGAACAGG